rnacentral:rRNA from 1 species
GGCUGCCUACGGGGCGCAGCAGUGAGGAAUAUUGGUCAAUGGCCGAGAGGCUGAACCAGCCAAGCCGCGUGAGGGAAGACGGCCCUACGGGUUGUAAACCUCUUUUGUCGGGGAGCAAAGCGAACCACGUGUGGUUCAUUGAGAAUACCCGAAGAAAAAGCAUCGGCUAACUCCGUGCCAGCAGCCGCGGUAAUACGGAGGAUGCGAGCGUUAUCCGGAUUUAUUGGGUUUAAAGGGUGCGUAGGCGGGCUUUUAAGUCAGCGGUAAAAAUUCGGGGCUCAACCCCGUCCGGCCGUUGAAACUGG